GGCUGGUCCGAUGGCAGUGGGUUAUCAGAACUUAUUAACAUUAGUGUCACUAAAGUUGGUAUACCCCCCCCCCCACUGCUAAAUUUGACUGGCUUUAA
rnacentral:Y_RNA from 1 species